rnacentral:snRNA from 1 species
CCAAUGUAACAAAUGCAUUGCUU